rnacentral:rRNA from 1 species
AACGAACGCUGGCGGCAUGCCUAAUACAUGCAAGUCGAACGAGAUCUUCGGAUCUAGUGGCGCACGGGUGCGUAACGCGUGGGAAUCUGCCCUUGGGUUCGGAAUAACUUCUGGAAACGGAAGCUAAUACCGGAUGAUGACGUAAGUCCAAAGAUUUAUCGCCCAAGGAUGAGCCCGCGUAGGAUUAGGUAGUUGGUGAGGUAAAGGCUCACCACGCCGACGAUCCUUAGCUGGUCUGAGAGGAUGAUCAGCCACACUGGGACUGAGACACGGCCCAGACUCCUACGGGAGGCAGCAGUAGGGAAUAUUGGACAAUGGGCGAAAGCCUGAUCCAGCAAUGCCGCGUGAGUGAUGAAGGCCUUAGGGUUGUAAAGCUCUUUUACCCGGGAUGAUAAUGACAGUACCGGGAGAAUAAGCUCCGGCUAACUCCGUG